rnacentral:rRNA from 1 species
UACGUAGGUGGCAAGCGUUGUCCGGAUUUAUUGGGUUUAAAGGGUGCGUAGGCGGCCGCUUAAGUCAGUUGUGAAAUCUCCCGGCUCAACUGGGAGGGGUCAUUCGAUACUGGCGGGCUCGAGGCCGGUAGGGGGAAGCGGAAGUUCCCGGUGUAGUGGUGGAAUGCGUAGAUAUCGGGAGGAACACCAGUGGCGAAGGCGGCU